rnacentral:ncRNA from 2 species
UGCGAUCUAACGGGGUGCCGCGCUGACGCGCGGCUGAGAGGCUCGGCCAACCCGCGGAACCUGAUCCGGUUAACACCGGCGGAGGGAUUAGACGGCUCAUUUUC